rnacentral:tRNA from 1 species
GGCGCUAUGGCCGAUUGGUUAGGCAAGGGUCUGCAAAACCUUUAAUAGCGGUUCGAUUCCGCUUGGCGCCU